CGAGAUAUCAUACAUGAUCAGGAUCACUCUUUUGUGACAAAGGUACAAUCAACUAUUAUUUGUGUUUGUGUUGGGAAUCAGAUUUUCAAGAUAAUGUCAUGUUCAUGUCUAAUUUUAACAUUAUGUUUUUCAGUGGGACAGGAGAAACAAACUUGUCUACACCCAAGAUGAUUUGGAUGUGUUAAGGAAUGAGUAGGCAAAGUUCAUCAUCAGCAAAUACUUGUAGGGUGCAUGAUUUGGUCUGUUUUGGUGAACUUGAUGCUUUCUAUAUGUAUGUGGUAGUACUUUGCUUUUGAACUUGGUGUUUCUAUAUAUUCGGAACAGCUAUACGGUACGAGUACGUACUUUGUACAUUUCUCAUGUUGGAAUGCUUUUGGACAUGUAAGACUAUCUAAGAGCUUAACUAGUUGCUUGUUUUCAGUUUAUCAUUCAGCUGUAAUGUUGUUUGUGGAAGCUUGAAUGAUAUAUAUGGAAGCUAAAAUGCAAUGUUUUAUGGUAUCAGUCAAUUUGUGCAGCAGUUUCUUUUGGGAUGCUUGUGUGUGUAAAACUUGGACAACAGAGUCUGUCCACAUGAAAAUGCAACUGUUGUAUGAUUCUCAUCAAACAAGAAAGCAGUUUCUAUUGUGUGAUACAACGGUCCAAAUAUUUCAGUUGUAGGUUAUUCAACGUCACACAACAGUAAAGAUAGGGAAUAAACCGUUGUAGCUUACUAAAAAACACACAACGAAGAAAAUGAAAACCAAUAGUUGUCUGAAAGGGGUAAAAAUACAACGAAAAUGUUAUAUUGUUUGUUGUCUGAGUGGACUUGUCGAUGCCGUGCAUGCCGCGCAUGGCAUCGAUCUGCGCAGCGACUUAUGCAACGAAAGUAUUGAACUGUUGAGCAAAAUAUGAUCACACAACGGUGAUUUUCACACUUGUCUGAAGAUUCAAUCAGACAAGCCCGAGAUAUACAACGGAAAACCUAUAGUCACACAACGGUCUCCACCGUUGUGUGUUGACAAAUCUGUAGUAGUGAUCAUAACCAUAACCAAUCACCCGAUUAAAGGCUUGGAACCCGAUUUGACUAAUUAAACAACAAUUCUACAUCACAUUAUCACAUUAUCAUAACAUGUCUUUGUAAUACCCCGUAUCUAAAAGGUUACUGUUCGGGGUUAUGAGUUACCGCGGACUUUUCUUUAUUCGCGCUCAGAGAUUUAAAUAGUGAUUACUUGAGUUUGUUUUUGAGUUUUUCUAAAAACGGUAAAUAGUAGAUUUAAAACUCCGAAGUCGUGGUACAUGUUUAUACGAGCUC
rnacentral:lncRNA from 1 species